rnacentral:rRNA from 1 species
UACGUAGGGUGCAAGCGUUGUCCGGAAUUAUUGGGCGUAAAGAGCUCGUAGGCGGCUUGUCGCGUCUGCCGUGAAAACCCAGGGCUCAACUCGGGGCGUGCGGUGGGUACGGGCAGGCUAGAGUGCGGUAGGGGAGAGUGGAAUUCCUGGUGUAGCGGUGGAAUGCGCAGAUAUCGGGAGGAACACCGGUGGCGAAGGCGGUUCUCUGGGCCUGACCUGACGCUGAGGAGCGAAAGCGUGGGGAGCGAACAGG